rnacentral:rRNA from 1 species
UACGGAGGGUGCGAGCGUUGUCCGGAAUCACUGGGCGUAAAGGGCGCGUAGGCGGCGCGGAUAGUCGGCGGUGAAAGCCCGGAGCUCAACUCCGGGUCGGCCGUCGAUACUUCCGGGCUUGAGCACUGUAGAGGCAGAUGGAAUUCCGGGUGUAGCGGUGGAAUGCGUAGAGAUCCGGAAGAACACCGGUGGCGAAGGCGGUCUGCUGGGCAGUUGGCUGACG